rnacentral:rRNA from 1 species
ACGCUGGCGGCAGGCUUAACACAUGCAAGUCGAGCGGAGAGAGGUAGCUUGCUACUUAGCUUAGCGGCGGACGGGUGAGUAAUGCUUAGGAAUCUGCCUAUUAGUGGGGGACAACAUUCCGAAAGGAAUGCUAAUACCGCAUACGCCCUACGGGGGAAAGCAGGGGAUCUUCGGACCUUGCGCUAAUAGAUGAGCCUAAGUCAGAUUAGCUAGUUGGUGGGGUAAAGGCCUACCAAGGCGACGAUCUGUAGCGGGUCUGAGAGGAUGAUCCGCCACACUGGGACUGAGACACGGCCCAGACUCCUACGGGAGGCAGCAGUGGGGAAUAUUGGACAAUGGGCGAAAGCCUGAUCCAGCCAUGCCGCGUGUGUGAAGAAGGCCUUUUGGUUGUAAAGCACUUUAAGCGAGGAGGAGGCUACUUGGAUUAAUACUCUAGGAUAGUGGACGUUACUCGCAGAAUAAGCACCGGCUAACUCUGUGCCAGCAGCCGCGGUAAUACAGAGGGUGCGAGCGUUAAUCGGAUUUACUGGGCGUAAAGCGUGCGUAGGCGGCUUCUUAAGUCGGAUGUGAAAUCCCUGAGCUUAACUUAGGAAUUGCAUUCGAUACUGGGAAGCUAGAGUAUGGGAGAGGAUGGUAGAAUUCCAGGUGUAGCGGUGAAAUGCGUAGAGAUCUGGAGGAAUACCGAUGGCGAAGGCAGCCAUCUGGCCUAAUACUGACGCUGAGGUACGAAAGCAUGGGGAGCAAACAGGAUUAGAUACCCUGGUAGUCCAUGCCGUAAACGAUGUCUACUAGCCGUUGGGGCCUUUGAGGCUUUAGUGGCGCAGCUAACGCGAUAAGUAGACCGCCUGGGGAGUACGGUCGCAAGACUAAAACUCAAAUGAAUUGACGGGGGCCCGCACAAGCGGUGGAGCAUGUGGUUUAAUUCGAUGCAACGCGAAGAACCUUACCUGGUCUUGACAUAGUAAGAACUUUCCAGAGAUGGAUUGGUGCCUUCGGGAACUUACAUACAGGUGCUGCAUGGCUGUCGUCAGCUCGUGUCGUGAGAUGUUGGGUUAAGUCCCGCAACGAGCGCAACCCUUUUCCUUAUUUGCCAGCGGGUUAAGCCGGGAACUUUAAGGAUACUGCCAGUGACAAACUGGAGGAAGGCGGGGACGACGUCAAGUCAUCAUGGCCCUUACGACCAGGGCUACACACGUGCUACAAUGGUCGGUACAAAGGGUUGCUACCUAGCGAUAGGAUGCUAAUCUCAAAAAGCCGAUCGUAGUCCGGAUUGGAGUC